UUAAUCAAAUUAAAAAAAUAACAAAGUCAAAAUUUAAAAGAGGAUUAGGGUUACAUUCUUGUGACGAUUGGAGUUGUUGAACUCAGAAGCUUCUCAUCUUCCUGACGAACAAAACGCGGCGGCGGGACGGUUUUCAUUCUCUUCUCCGGUUUCUCCGAUGAAGCUCGUAGAACAACACCGCCAACCACUCUCCUUUCCGCCUCGCACUCGCUCCUCUCGCGUCUCUCUCAAUCACCCGCUCAUCUCCUCUCCGUCUCCUCUCCUUUCAUUCCGAUCCUCUCCGCCUCACACUCUCCGUCUCAACCUCAUAUAUCUCUCCUCACUCAACUUAUCAGAUUCAAAAACGAACUCAGCACAAGAAUGCGUGAUGGAUGCUUUCUGGCCGGAGUUGCGUCUUCAACGACGUUGAUACAGAAUCCAGCGAAGGUGCUUCAAAACUUUCAGAUUUAUUGUGUUCUGAAGCGUUGAAGACGAUGGAGAAUUUUGUUGGUUGAUGAUUGAAGAUUAUCGGUGAUUGUAAAGUGAUGAAGAUGAUUACUGUGAUGAACAAUGUGAUGAUGAUGCUGCGCAAGAUUGAGCGAAGCGGUUUCACGGAGUGAAGAUACCGUGACAAUGAUUUUGCAGAAUCGAUGAAGGAUCAAGAGAGAGAGAAGAUUGAAGAAAUUCAGUGUGAAGAUGAAGAAGAUUCAAGCGUGGAGAAGAUUGAGAUUGAUGAAGAUCGAGAGAGAAUUGAAGAUUGUGGAGCAAAGUUUGUUACAGGGAGAUUGAAUUGAAGAAUGGAUGUCGAUGAUGAAGAUUAUGGAGAGAUGGUGAAGUGAUGAAGAUGAAGAGGAUGGGAGAAAAGAUCGAGAGCCUUUUCUGUUACCGGUUGUUACGUUCUUCCUCUUCCUCCCUUUUUUGUUACGUGUAUUUUCUUUUUGUCUGCUGGAGUUGUGAACCGGUUUUCUUUUACUCAGUGCAGGUCCGGUUUGAUUUAUUUUGUAUGCCGGUUUUAUUUGAACGCUGCGGGAUGUUGCCAGUUCGGGAAGGAUGCUGCUAAUAUGCUACUUGGUGAAUGGCAAGACUUGAAGUUCUGAUCUUCGAUCAAGAUAUUGACAUGAAGCUUUUUUUCUUAGGCAUUUAAAGCUUUAGGCUUAUAUCAGUGUUCUGUAACUUGUAAUAUGAGGCUAGCAAUACCUUUUGUAACUUAUGAACUUGUAAAUCGUGAGAUUUGAUAAAGUUCACUUUAACCAUACUUGUAUGAACUUGCCUACUCGUUCCACUGAUGAAACUUGUUUUAACAUUUGUAAUUCCA